AUACGGAGGAUCCAAGCGUUAUCCGGAUUUAUUGGGUUUAAAGGGUGCGUAGGCGGUUUGAUAAGUUAGAGGUGAAAUACCGGUGCUUAACACCGGAACUGCCUCUAAUACUGUUGAGCUAGAGAGUAGUUGCGGUAGGCGGAAUGUAUGGUGUAGCGGUGAAAUGCUUAGAUAUCAUACAGAACACCGAUUGCGAAGGCAGCUUACCAAACUAUAUCUGACGUUGAGGCACGAAAGCGUGGGGAGCAAACAGGAUUAGAUACCCUGGUAGUCCACGCAGUAAACGAUGAUAACUCGCUGUCGGCGAUACACGGUCGGCGGCUAAGCGAAAGCGAUAAGUUAUCCACCUGGGGAGUACGUUCGCAAGAAUGAAACUCAAAUGAAUUGGCGGGG
rnacentral:rRNA from 1 species